UCCUAGCCCUGAUGGGAGCGGCAUCCUUUUGUGCUGGGGUUCAGCACAAAAGAUAUAGCGGACAGCAGGAAUCAGC
rnacentral:sRNA from 1 species